UAGACGCGCUAGCUUCAGGUGUUAGUGUUCUUACGGACGUGGGGGUUCAAGUCCCCCCCCUCGCACCAACGAGGCGAUAUCAAA
rnacentral:tRNA from 2 species